rnacentral:lncRNA from 12 species
UUCAAAUUCCAACUUAUUAAUUUACAGGAAACUGAUUAAUAAAUUCUGAAUCUAAGUGUGUUAGGGUGGAAGCCAUAACCACUAACUGCAUCCAUGCUCUCUUUCAGAGCCGGGACGAGAGCAUCACUCACAGAUUUAUGAAGAAUCCAGAAAUGUGUCUCAUCAUUAUGAAGGAAGGGCCAGCCUGUGGGUUUGUGGGGCCUCAAGUCAGAUCAUCGAAAGAAUGGCCAUAACAUAAUAACAUCUAUAGAACCUCUGCAAUGUCUUUGACCAGUCCAACUCUUGGCAGGUGCAGAACACUAAAGGACCAUUUUAUUUCUAAAUUAGUCUGAAAGGCGCACCACAAAGACUGGAAAUGCUGCUGCCCUUUCAUUUUAAAUGGUACGUUGGCAUUUAACACUACACAUGUCAGCAGAACUUCACUCUCCAUUUAUGGCUUCUUAAUGUAUGUGUAUUUGUUCACUGCCACUUAUGAUAUUAGCUGUUGUCAUCUGCAGUGGAAAAGGACAUUGCAGAUAUGAAAAAGCAUUCUUGUGAUCAUAAAUGAAUUUGUAAACUACAUUCAUAAACUCCCACCUUUUUAUAUAGCCUCCUCCACUUUCCAGUAGCACAAAAUAAUCGACUUUUACACACAGAAAAAAAAAAAAAACUUAUAUAGAAAAAACUAUAGCACGUUACUGUAAUUGUUUUUCAUUUCCCCUCUUCCUUUCCUUUAAUCUUUUUUUUUUCUUUUACAAAAAGGUGACUGAUGUCACCUCUCUCCACUUGUCAAGUGUAAGAUGCUUUUAAAAUAAUUAAUUUUUUUUUAUAUUUA